rnacentral:rRNA from 1 species
AGUGAACGCUGGCGGCAGGCCUAAUACAUGCAAGUCGAACGGCAGCACAGUGGAGCUUGCUCCAUGGGUGGCGAGUGGCGGACGGGUGAGGAAUACAUGGGAAUCUGCCCAGUCGUGGGGGAUAACGUAGGGAAACUUACGCUAAUACCGCAUGCGCCCUUCGGGGGAAAGCCGGGGACCUUCGGGCCUGGCGCGAUUGGAUGAGCCCAUGUUCGAUUAGCUAGUUGGCGGGGUAAAGGCCCACCAAGGCGACGAUCGAUAGCUGGUCUGAGAGGAUGAUCAGCCACACUGGGACUGAGACACGGCCCAGACUCCUACGGGAGGCAGCAGUAGGGAAUAUUGGACAAUGGGCGCAAGCCUGAUCCAGCCAUGCCGCGUGAGUGAAGAAGGCCCGCGGGUUGUAAAGCUCUUUUGUCCGGGAAGAAAAGCAUCGGGCUAAUACCUCGGUGUUCUGACGGUACCGGAAGAAUAAGCACCGGCUAACUUCGUG